AUUGAACGCUGGCGGCAGGCUUAACACAUGCAAGUCGAGCGGGGUGAUGGUGCUUGCACUAUCACUUAGCGGCGGACGGGUGAGUAAUGCUUAGGAAUCUGCCUAUUAGUGGGGGACAACAUCUCGAAAGGGAUGCUAAUACCGCAUACGUCCUACGGGAGAAAGCAGGGGAUCACUUGUGACCUUGCGCUAAUAGAUGAGCCUAAGUCGGAUUAGCUAGUUGGUGGGGUAAAGGCCUACCAAGGCGACGAUCUGUAGCGGGUCUGAGAGGAUGAUCCGCCACACUGGGACUGAGACACGGCCCAGACUCCUACGGGAGGCAGCAGUGGGGAAUAUUGGACAACGGGGGGAACCCUGAUCCAGCCAUGCCGCGUGUGUGAAGAAGGCCUUAUGGUUGUAAAGCACUUUAAGCGAGGAGGAGGCUCUUUUGGUUAAUACCCAAGAUGAGUGGACGUUACUCGCAGAAUAAGCACCGGCUAACUCUGUGCCAGCAGCCGCCGGGU
rnacentral:rRNA from 1 species